CAGUGGAUACACUUGUCUCCCCUUUAAAGGAGAUACUCUUAGAGAGAGACGAUCCGAGUCAUCAUAAAAUAUGGGCAGGAUAUCAGUCUUGGACUGUCUAACCUGCAGGAGCAGCAUUGAAUGAUCACCACACAUGAGCAUGUUCCUGCAACAUUCAGCAUCUGAUCCUUCAUCUGUGUGCUGCUGCUUUUGUGUCAAUUGUCCAACAGCUGGAGAGGAAAAUACACCAGUAUACUGGGAUGUUUCAUCAACAUGUGCCAGACGCUGUUCCUUCAUGGUGACAUCACCAGAGACAGCCCCGCCCACCUCAGGACCCAUUGAUCAUGAGGAUUAUAAUGAUGACAGCGAGCGGAACUAAGACUGUAAAAAUCCACGACCAGAAUGUUUAGAUGCUUUCUAAUUAUUAAUGAAUACUGAGUUUUUGUCUCUCUCUUUUUUUUUUUUACCUCAUUUGUUACUAACAAAGUUCACCAAACUCACACAGUUUACAUUCUUUAUGUUUCCAUCUUUACCAGCCACAGUCUGCCUGCAAUUAAGAAAAUAAUCCUUAGAAAUCGUCGUUUUUCUCUUUUGUAAUUGAUGAUAAUUCAGUAA